AUGAACGAUUACGUUUUGCGUUCCUGUGUUUUGUGUUCGCCAUCUGGUUUUGAAUUUGGAUUACGGAGACGGGGAGAGGCCAGAGUAAGGUACAGACUUGUGGAUCUGGACAUCUCACAUUUGCUCUUUAUUGGGUUGCUAAGGACACUGAACAGUUUGGCUGGGCCACUGCACGCCCUGGCUAAUCAGGAAGUGUUGCCAUGGAUCAAAUCUGUAAUGGAAGAGACUAGGAGUAACAUUACAACCGACCAACUUAAAGUAUAUGUAUGGAAGACACUGAAGAGUGGAAAGGUUGUAGUGAUUAGAGAGAAGCUUGCAGAACUGUAUGAAUCUGAACAAGAAUGGUUGAGAGCAGCACAAAUGCUUAGUGGCAUUGACUUGGACUCAGGAAUCAGAUUGAAACAAGCUUUUGUCUCUGUUUACAUGUCAUUGGAUUUUCUAAGUCUGGGAAAUCUGACCAUCUUCUUAAAAACCAGGAUGCUUGAUGACACAAACAAAUUAUCCAAGUGCGUCCAGAUUGCACGACUCUAUUUGGAGUGCUGCUGUAUAACAUGCACAAUAUUGGCUGGUGCUGGCCCACAACGCUCUCGUGUUUUUGCUACAUUGUACAAGGUUGUUCCUGGCUGUGGUCAUGGAGUUCUACAUAAUACAGACCAAAGAUAUUCAUGCCAAAGGGAGUUCGCAUUGAAAUAUUUACCCGAGGACCCACUUCUCCAACUGUCUCAGUGCAACAUAUUAUUAUUCCCUUUUAGGAACGAAGAUCUGAAUCACCCUCACCCGAGGACCCACUUCUCCAACUGUAUGGGCCAACAAAAUGGUCUCAUUGCAAGGUGGACGUAUAUGCAAGCAAUGUCAAGAGAGAUAGAAGCUUGGACUAUUGAGAAACAUGCACUGAUUAAUGCCCAUUGGGUAUAUGGGAAUAAAUGGGCAGAAAUGGCAAAAGUUCUUCCUAGAAGGAAUCAGGUACUUCUAUUUGUUCUCAGGUUCUUCUCACCUAUAGCUAAAGUCAAAGACGACAAACCAAGUGGAUUAUUGGAGUUGCAAGAUACACAAAAUCAUCAGUAA
rnacentral:rRNA from 1 species